CACGUAGGGCGCGAGCGUUGUCCGGAAUUAUUGGGCGUAAAGAGCUCGUAGGCGGUGUGUCGCGUCGACCGUGAAAACCUGCAGCUUAACUGUGGGCGUGCGGUCGAUACGGGCAUCACUGGAGUUCGGCAGGGGAGACUGGAAUUCCUGGUGUAGCGGUGAAAUGCGCAGAUAUCAGGAGGAACACCGGUGGCGAAGGCGGGUCUCUGGGCCGAUACUGACGCUGAGGAGCGAAAGCGUGGGGAGCAAACAGG
rnacentral:rRNA from 1 species